GAUCAUGGCUCAGGACGAACGCUGGCGGCGUGCUUAACACAUGCAAGUCGAACGGUGAAGGGGCCUGCUUUUGUGGGUCCUGGAUGAGUGGCGAACGGGUGAGUAACACGUGAGUAACCUGCCCCCUUCUUCUGGAUAACCGCAUGAAAGUGUGGCUAAUACGGGAUAUUCUGGGUCUGUCGCAUGGUGGGCCUGGGAAAGAUUGCGCCUUUUGGGUGUUUUUGGUGGGGGAUGGGCUCGCGGCCUAU
rnacentral:rRNA from 1 species